rnacentral:rRNA from 1 species
UACGGAGGGGGCUAGCGUUGUUCGGAAUUACUGGGCGUAAAGCGUACGUAGGCGGCUUUGUAAGUUAGAGGUGAAAGCCCGGGGCUUAACCCUGGAAUUGCCUUUAAGACUGCAUCGCUAGAAUCGUGGAGAGGUGAGUGGAAUUCCGAGUGUAGAGGUGAAAUUCGUAGAUAUUCGGAAGAACACCAGUGGCGAAGGCGACUCACUGGACACGUAUUGACGCUGAGGUGCGAAAGCGUGGGGAGCAAACAGG